GCGGAGCCAAUGGCGGGGCGGGAGGAGCCGCGGGGCGGGGCCAACGUUCCCGAAGCCGAGUUCCCCAAGGGCCAGCGGGGCGUCUUCAGCUCACCGCUCCCUCCUCCUCGGGACUUUCUCAGGACCUUCCCUACACUAGUGUGGGCGUUCAGGACAACCAAGCAAUGUGAAGCUAUGGUUUUCACAGGCCCCUUGAGAUAUAGCACUGAAGAUUGGCAAUUAGAAAACAGAAGUAAAGGCACAACACACUAUGGCCUCCUAGCCUCAGGCAGAGGGGCCAGAGGGUGUGACUUCAGUUUUCAGACACUGGUUUUAUUGGGGAAACGAGGGGAAGAUACUCCUAUUCAUCCUUCCUUGCGGGCACUGCCUCUUGUGGAAGUACAGUCUCCCACGAGGGAUUCUAGAUUCAGGAUGACUGAUAUAGCUCCAUGAGGGUGGAUACUAUCUCUCAUCAUUUCAACCAAGGAAAGAAAUCAGUGGUAGUCUGAAAGUGGCUGAAAGUUUAAAAAUCCUACAGUUUAAACCACCCAGUUAAAGACAAAAUGAUAACCAAUUCUUCAGUUUUGGAGCCAAACAAGAAGGGCUAAAUCUAUGAGCAGCCGGUGAAAGCUAUAUUCCCACCACAUAGCCUGUGUGUAUUCUUGCAUUACAGCCUUUGUCAUGGCAUGUAUCACCUGUUUCCUUAUCAAUCUCCUGGAUUCUCGGCUCCUGGAGGGCAGGGACCAUACUUUAUUGUCAUGUUGUCCCUGUGCCUGACAUAGUAUAGUGCUUGUUAUUGACUAUUUAAUGUUUGUUGAAUAAAGGACAUCUUGUCAUCUUUUUGACACAAGCUUUUAUUCCAAAAUGCUGAACAGACCUUCUUCCCAACUCUUUAAAAUGAAAAAAGGUAAAAGAAAUAGGAAGAAAAGAAAAGACAAUCUGCCUUGAGGUUGACUCUACUCAAGAAUCAUUAACUAUACUUUUACCAAGUAUUAGAUAGAUAAUCUUCAUAACCAAUACUAUUAUUGGGCUGUAAGGCAUCUGUGAUCAGCAUUUCACAUUUAAUCCUUAUAAUAACCUUAUGUGAUAGAUACUAUCAUCACCUCAUUUUACAAAUGAGGAAACUGAGGUACAGAGAGGUUACAUAAUUUGUCCGAGUUUGUCAAGCCAGUCAGAAGCAGAGCUGGAAUUUGAACUGAGUUCUGACUCCAAAGCCUGUGUGUAACUCACAUGAAGAAAAGGGGGUUUAUAAAACAGCUGUUACCAUAAACUUUGAGAGCGCUAAAUAUAGAAACUGUAUUCAUGUUGAACUUCAUCUCUCCACCUGGGAGAGCUCCUCUGAGAAUUACAUUUUCUAUUUUUAUUCCUUUUCUCUAAUCGACUCCCAUGAUGAAGUAUUUAAUUAGCUGAUGGUCAUUGAGACUUUAGGUAUUUUAAACCAUGUUAUAGGCGAAUCAGUGAAAACGGGAAAGUGAGGACAUUUGAAACUUCAUCCCUCCAUAAAAGCAACGACAAUGACAAACACUGGCAAACAUAGAAUCAAUGUUUUAAUCAUUUUGGAAAAUUUAACCAAUGGGUCUACAGCAACCCAGAGAGCAUUUAUUAAGGGAAAAUGUAUUAAUUUCUAUAAGAACAGUGAGAUCUGUUGUUUUAACUAGUUCUAGACCUCUGCUCUGUAUCCUGAUGGUAGCCUUGAAAAAUAGCCCACAUCCCAGGGGAGCAAAAUGGAGCUGGAGUUCCUUAAAGCCUCCUUCCCAAAGAACUGUCAUUGUUUUACCUGUCUAGUGAGUUUCCUGGAAGACCUCAAUUGAGAACCUUGUCCUUGACCUCACUGAGAACUGCACAAUGCUAGAAGCCUCUUCUUCUCAAGGGGCAUUUUAAAAAUAUCAUUAUUUAUUUAUUUAUUCAUGAGAAAGACACACAGACAGAGAGAGAGAGGCAGAGACACAGGCAAAGGGAGACAGAGAGAGGCAGAGACAUAGGCAGAGGGAGAAGUGGGCUCCCUAUGGGGAGCUGGAUGUGAGACUGGAUCCCAGAACUCCAGGAUCAUGCCUAGAGAGGAAGGCAGACACCCAACCGCUUAGUCACCUAGAUAUCCCCAGGAGCAUUUUUAAAAACACUUACAGGUAAAUGUUUUAAACUGGCAGCUGUGUAAGGCAAUGGAUAACAGUUGGGACAAAAAAAACAAACAAAAAAACAACAACAACAACAACAACAAAAACCCUAAUCUAAAAGUUUAAAAGAAAAAGCUGAGAAAUGAGAUAUCCACAGAGAGUUUGAAAUGCUCCAACAUA